rnacentral:snRNA from 1 species
AAAUCUCCAUAGCCGGAUUU